AAGCCAUGAUGUCCUUGCAAAGCUAAGUGCCAAAAUCCAAUCACAAAUACCAUAAUCAGCUAGUUUUUAACCCCAACUAGGCUCAUGCAACAGUGUCUCCAAGUCCAUAUAGGCAAUGGGUUAGGUUCACUUUAAUGCAAUUUGCAGCAAUGUAAGACCUCACGCAAAAAAACUAACCAGAAAGUGUUUUUUGGAUUGCUUAACCAUGUAUAAGUACCAAGAUCUAUCCAAUGCAUACCAACGUGGGACUAAUGCACGCCUACAUAGGUCCUCAUAUCAAUAUGCACCGGGUCGAUCUUGGAUAAUAAUACAAGGCCAAAGAACCCAGAUAACACCUUUCAAC
rnacentral:lncRNA from 1 species